rnacentral:tRNA from 1 species
GGGCCGGUGGUCCAACGGUAAGACGCCACCCUUACUUGGUGGAGACUCUGGGUUCAAGUCCCAGCCGGUCCA